rnacentral:rRNA from 1 species
AACGAACGCUGGCGGCAGGCUUAACACAUGCAAGUCGAACGCCCCGCAAGGGGAGUGGCAGACGGGUGAGUAACGCGUGGGAAUCUACCCAGUUCUACGGAAUAACCCAGGGAAACUUGGACUAAUACCGUAUACGCCCUACGGGGGAAAGAUUUAUCGGAAUUGGAUGAGCCCGCGUUGGACUAGCUAGUUGGUGGGGUAAUGGCCUACCAAGGCGACGAUCCAUAGCUGGUCUGAGAGGAUGAUCAGCCACACUGGGACUGAGACACGGCCCAGAUUCCUACGGGAGGCAGAUGUGGGGAAUAGUGGACAAUGGGCGCAAACCUGAUCCAGCCAUGCCGCGUGAGUGAUGAAGGCCUUAGGGUUGUAAAGCUCUUUCAGUGGGGACGAUAAUGACGGUACCCACAGAAGAAGCCCCGGCUAACUUCGUGCCAGCCGCCGCAGUAAAAC